UACGUAGGGGGCUAGCGUUGUCCGGAAUCAUUGGGCGUAAAGCGCGUGUAGGCGGUCCGGUAAGUCCGCUGUGAAAGUCGGGGGCUCAACCCUCGAAUGCCGGUGGAUACUGUCGGGCUAGAGUGCGGAAGAGGCGAGUGGAAUUCCUGGUGUAGCGGUGAAAUGCGCAGAUAUCAGGAGGAACACCAAUUGCGAAGGCAGCUCGCUGGGACGUUACUGACGCUGAGACGCGAAAGCGUGGGUAGCAAACAGG
rnacentral:rRNA from 1 species